CAGAACCAACUACCGUAAACAUACAAGGAUAUCGUCGCCAACAUGUCCGGAGAGGGAUACAAAUUUGUACAAGAUGCUACAAACGAGUUGCACAAGAAACUCGACGACUUGGAGAAAAGGGCUGUUUGUCUGGGAGAACAAUACGACCACCUGUUAGACCGAGCCGGCAAACUAGAGCAGAGGACUAAUGAGUACAUGUUUAGGAUUGAGAAGGACAGAAAGAUGUCAGUCAUUGUGGAACUUCUCAUGCGGCGGGAUAAAAGGUCUGAGUUGUUAAUUGAUUAUGUUUGGGUGUUUUUCGAAGUUGUGUUGAGGAAGGUGAAGAGUUUAGGCGUUCCAGUAAACACCAUAAAAGAGCUUUGGUUAGGGUUACGGCAGAAAGCAACUGAAAAGUCCUUCACUGCCACAAUGGGGAAGCUUGGUUUUUCCAAAGCAGAGUUAGAUCCCGUCUUGCUUCUGUUUGAGGUGGUUCACGACAGAACAUUGGCUGAAUGUGGCGCGAGCAAAAGUUUGACUGAGACGAUUGUGAGAAGGAAACGGAACGAAGAAAACGAUGAGGACAAUUCGUGGAUGCGGGAUGCCGACGUUGCUAGUCUCAUCCUCUACUUGCAGAUACAAGACGAGCUACAGACGUCGGUGAGGGGAGCAUUGCGACGGGUAGUAGCUGUAGCUCACUGUGGCCUUAUGGGAGCAGACGAUACGGAAACAUGCCUGAAUCUUGGAAGUGUCCCGUCGCCAGAACUUGCAUCACACUUCCUCACGUCAACUCCUAAGAUAACCCCGAAAAUCAGGCGUUCUUCGUCCGCAGUACCAUUCAGCACAGAGUUACUGGACACCCCAACAUGCGUGCGACCUGUUCACAGUACCCAGAACGCCAAUACAGCUCAUCUCACUGACAGGUUAGAUUCGGCUAGUCUUACGUCUGGUAGUACUCCGUCUCCCAAACAAGAUGCUUCAGAACCGUCCGGAGCAGGGCAUUGUCGCGGUAGUCACCACUCAACGCCCAUGUCAGACACGUGUGAGACAUCAUGUGAUCACCAAUAUGACAGCCGCGUCUCUAUCCCAGACACGGAGGGCAAGUCUGAGUUGAAAUCCAAUGGCGAGCGUCGUGAAUCCGACACAGCAAUAGCCACGUUGAAAUGUGACAGUGUUUGCAACGCGUCUUCCAGUGCUGCCCAGGACAUGCUUGGCGAUAACGCAAGCAACAGGAGUGACAACAGAUAUGGAGGAGGGACGUAUGACACAAGCACAGGCUGUCAGAAAUGUGUGCGCUUCUCCCCUCAAACCGUGACCUCGGAAUGUGACUGUAACGAAUGAUGUCCCAGACCCCGAUCAAUCCAAUUCAAAAGGUGAAGUCCAAAACAAAAUACAGCUAGUCACAUUUGAACAAAGGAGGUCCAGUUUUGACCUUGAAUCUUCCUCCUCCCUUUGGGAUGACCAUACAACGAAUGUGUUAUUGUUUUAUUUAUCAGAGCGGCCUGUUGAAAGGACUAUCUGGCUGUUGUGACAACCAAAUCCCUCAGCCUGCCUGACUGCCUGACCCAUCUGGGGUUGCCUCUCACAUCUUGGGAUGUUUACUUUUUCAUUACACUUCAUUGCAGAAGAAUGGCACUCAUAAACUGCAUAUUGAAAAUCUCAUGGUAGCUAGUUGGGUAGAGUGGUCUUCAUUGUUGUUUUCCAUUCUGUCAUGUUUAAAACUGGCUGCCUACCCUCCCAUAAUAUUUGCUCAUUCUUACAAAUCGGCCUAUUUCCACAGCCUGCAAGAAGGCUCUUACCCAUGAUAACCUGUGUUAGUCCAGGAGAAGCCCAUAGCAACUCUUGCCUCUCUUGUGGCCAUUUUCACAACUGGCCCUCCAUACACAAAAUGGGCAUAGCUAUCAAUCUUGUCAGCUCAUGGGACAACAUCCAACCUCUAACAUCCAUACACAUAUGACAGAAGACUGUUAAAACACAUCCUACUAAGCUGAAACAUACUGUGAUUGAACACAGUUACAGUCCGUUUGGCUCAAAAGCAGACCGAUGAAUU